CAAAACUAGUGUAAUGUCAAUAUACAAGAGAUGCACAACAUGAUCACUUCAUUUUCAUAUUCAAGUUGAUCACGAGUCUUAUCAUCAUAGCUUAGUACAAAAUAAGUAUAUAGCUGGUAUGUUGAAGCCCGGCAAUAACGUGCCUGUCGCGCGGUUUUUUUUUUUUUUUUUUUUUUUUUUUUUUUUUGAUUUAGUAAGAAAUAAUAAAUCUGUUCCUAUAUUUUAUCAGUUAAUAAAAUAUGGGCAGGAGUUUGGAUGCGUAAUAAUUAAAUCACGAGUGCGUAGCACGAGUGAUUUAAUCAUUCGCAUCCAAACGACUGCCCAUGUUUUAUUAAUUGAUAAAAUUAUUGGAACAUAUUUAUUAUUUCGAUUCUAACAACGCAAAUAAUUCGCAUUUUACAGUACUACAUUUUCAGCGUAAUACGUCAUUCGGGUCAUAUGCUGUUACAAUUUACCCCCUAUGGUUAGAAAGAGUUGCAUAGCCAAUGGAACGUAUAGAUAUUUGUUUCUUUUUAUCAGAAUUUUGAGAAGCAUUUAUAAUUUAGUAAUCUAAACAGCUCACAAACUUAUUAUGAAGAGAAUCAUCAAAUUAGGCGAGUUGACCCUGUGUUACAAGUUACGAGCUUAACUUUAUAUGACGUCACAUCAUUAUGACGUCAUACUUUAUGUCAUACAUUUAUGACGUCACCGCUGAAUCUUAAUUAAGCUAAUUGAAUUCGCUCGUAGAGAUCGAAACGUGUUUUACGGUCCUACACAUAAG